AUCCCUACGGGACGCAGCAGUGGGGGAUAUUGCACAAUGGGGGAAACCCUGAUGCAGCGACGCCGCGUGUGGGAAGACGGUCUUCUGGAUUGUAAACCACUGUCCCCAGGGACGAGAAUGACGGUACCUGGGGAGGAAGCUCCGGCUAACUACGUGCCAGCAGCCGCGGUAAUACGUAGGGAGCAAGCGUUGUCCGGAAUUACUGGGUGUAAAGGGAGCGUAGGCGGGGAUGCAAGUUGGGUGUCAAAACUAUCGGCUCAACCGAUAGUCGCACUCAAAACUGCAGCUCUUGAGUGAAGUAGAGG
rnacentral:rRNA from 1 species